UUAGGUGUGAGUGUGUGAGUUGAGAUUGGCUAGGAUUAUUACAUGUGGAUGCUCAAUCUAAUGGAUGUUAUUGACUUAUGUACCAUGCAUAAGGAUUACACUUAUGUAUAAUAACUUCUCCCUGUAUCCAUCCUGAAGCCGUGCCAGAGUGCUUGUUUGAUUCAUUAUCAAGGCAAUUCUUUGACUUAAGUGGCGAUUUGGUUGGGAUUUGCACAUGUAUUCUAAUUUAAUGAAAACUCACACAUAUAAAAUGAGCAUCGGAGUUUGCCUUUGUUUAAUGGACCAAUUUCGGACAACAUUAGUAGCUUGUGAAUGUGUGAUGAAGCCGUAAAAGUUAAUUAAAAAUAAUAAAACUAUCUUAUUCCUACCUAUAUGCAUGGAGAAUACAUCAAUCGAAAUCAUUACAUAUUCAAUUUCACAAAAAAAUAAUAAGGAUGAAUCUACAAACAGGCUUACAGCAUCCGAGUUAAUAGCAUGAAACGGCCUAAUGUCUAUGACAAAGCCUACAAUUGAUAUGACAAACUUCAAAUGUCCGGAAUAAUCAUGUAUCCGGAUCCACAACAUUGAUGAUGUUAAAGUCAUUGAAUCUGCAUUGAAUUUGGAUCGAUACAAACCUGCAAGUCUAAACAAAAGAACAAACAUCAUACCAAGACGAGAAUACAUCAAUCAAAAUCAUUACAUAUUCAAUUUCACUAAAAACUAAUAAGGAUGAAUCUGCAAACAGACUCAAGACAUCCGAGUUAAUUGCAUAAAACGGCCUAAUGCAUAUGACAAAGCCUACAAUUGAUAUGACAAACUUCAAAUGUCCGAAAUAAUCGUGUAUCCAGAUCCACAACAUUGAUGAUGUUAAAGUCAUUGAAUCUGCAUUGAAUUUGGAUUGAAACAAACCUGCAAAUCUAAACAAAAGAACAAACACCAUACAAAGACGAGACAAACACCGUACUAAGAAGGGAAAUAAAAACAAAUACUCCGCACUAAGACAGGAUUAAAACAACACCAGAUAAAAAAAUCACAGGAGAGAAAAUUCGAAUAAAACCUAAAAGUAUGUGUGUAACAACACGGGUCCUUUUCUACGUCCCGACUGUCAGGUGUAACGACCCAAUAUUUUAUCUUAUUGAUUUAUUAUUUGAUAACUAAAUUCUAUCGUAAUAUUGAUUAUUCUAUGUUUUAUUUAUUUUAUUAUUUGAUGGGAUAAUAGUUACUCUAAUUGUUAUUGUUA